GUGAAUUUUAAUAUCAAUCAAUAAAUUAAAUAAUAAGUCCACAUUACAAAGUUACCCAUAGGCAAAAGGAACUGGGGCGGGGGAAGCGGGGAGGGGGUCCUUAGACACCCAUUGUGUAAAACCUGAAGCCAGCUCUGUAGGAGUUCCUUCUUUUUUUCUUUUUUUUUUUCUUUUUUUCAGAGCUGGGGACCGAACCCAGGGCCAGAGCAAGCGCUCUACCACUGAGCUAAAUCCCCAACUCCUCUGUAGGAGUUCCUUAAAUGGCUUCCCAAACCCAAAGUCAAGACAGAAGGCUCCACAAAAGAAAAGGAGCUGGAACAUCCAGACUCUUGACCAACCCCUUUCCAAAACCCCAAAAUGCCAGAAUUCAGAAACCUAAACAAGCAGGUUUGAUUGUCACCAACAGGCCUGACCUGGGCACAGUCAUGCCCUGGGCAGAGGAGAGAACAGGCACAGCAUUACUAACCCCGCAGUCCACGCCCCUUAGUCAACUCUUCAACACCUAAAUUUUGCUCUGUGCUCGAGAAGCACCUGCCUGAGGGGACACUCACCAUGGCAUCCUCGUGCCUAAGGAGCCACUUGACCCGCUGUCUCUCUUGGUAUGGGAAACAAGAGGCUUUGAAAUUAGAACUUAUGUGUUUUGGAUCCAGCUCAACACCACCUUUGUGGCAGACCUCCAGAGAGAACAGGCAAGGAGCAGGAGGCCAGCAGUACAUUUAUUAAAGGAGGUUGGAGGCCCUGGGAAGGAGGAGCUGGAGACACAGCUCGGGAACUCUUAGAGAAUUCCAUACAUCUUCCACUCUCCAGCAACACAUCCCUGCUCUCUCGCCCUGACCCAUCUCUCUGGCCACGCCUCCAGUGCCAUGCAGGAUAGGAGAUGGGCAGAAUACCAGUGCUUGAAGGUGGCAUUCACCAUCCCUAGGAGAUUGUCAGAACAGGGAGGCCAGUCUGGAGACAAAGUCCAGGCCUCGGGCCUGUUGUGGCCGUUGGGUAAGCGGCCCAUCCUCCAUCCCACAGCACUCCUGCCUGUCCAAAGUGAGAAGGUGAACAGAGAAACUCGGCCCUCCCUUGGGUUCUGACCACCUUGUGGGGAGAUUAUGAUGGUCCUGCCGUUGCCAUGCCAACAGUGAUAUCAUUCCUUUCAUCAUUCCAUGCGGGUGGAUUUUUUUUUCCCUUUUCCUUAAAGGACAUCCUUUUACCAGCAUCUGCCUGGGGACCUACCAAGAGGUCAGCCCUCAUCAUCCCUGGCUCCAGGUAAACCAUGCUGUCUAGACUGUGAAGUCCUCAUGGGAGCGACUCCCGGGAUACAGGCAGGGGCUGCCCCCCGGCUGGCUGAUCCACUAAAUGGAAGGAGAACCAACAAAAUGUUUUCAGCUCCUCCUAUCAGACAGCAGGGAGAACAGGGAUGUGGCCAGGCCUAGGUUGGUCUCAUAGGACAGGUGAAGCCGCUUUCUAAGAAAAAUAAAGGCAAAGAGGAAUAAAGAUGGGAGAUGUGGAUCCCACACUUGAGUUGGGGAUUUAGCUCAGUGGUGCUUGCAAGGCCCUGGGUUCGGUCCUCAGCUCCGGAAAAAAAAAGAGCGUCCACACAGAGGAGUGCAGAAGAUGAGAAGAAAAUCGUUCCCAGAUAACAGGUCUGUGGGGACGCUUGCAGAGAGCAAAGGAAGGCGGCGGGGCAGCGGGCGGCGGGCAACAGCUCUGGUUCCAGCUGGCGGAAUCUCACCAGGGAAAAGGUGGCCAUCUGCCACAGAGUGGGCAGAGGGGCCCAGCCCGGCAUCCCUGCAGCCAGCUAACCUCUUCAAUACAGUUAACUUUCACAGAC